GCCCCUAUAGCUCAGAUGGUUAGAGCAGCGGACUUUUAAUCCGCGGGUCGUGGGUUCGAGUCCCACUGGGGGCA
rnacentral:tRNA from 1 species